rnacentral:piRNA from 1 species
UGACACCCUCAUCCCUUACUCCCUGGC